CAACCUGCCGUCUACUCUUGGACAGCCUUCUGAAAGGAAGAUUAAUACAAGAUGGCAUCAUGAGUCCGCAUGUUCACAUGAUUAAAGGUAUUCCGGUAGACGAUGGGGAUGCGUUCCAUUAGAUAGUAGGCGGGGUAACGGCCCACCUAGUCUUCGAUGGAUAGGGGUUCUGAGAGGAAGGUCCCCCACAUUGGAACUGAGACACGGUCCAAACUCCUACGGGAGGCAGCAGUGAGGAAUAUUGGUCAAUGGGCGAGAGCCUGAACCAGCCAAGUAGCGUGAAGGAUGACUGCCCUAUGGGUUGUAAACUUCUUUUAUAAAGGAAUAAAGUCGGGUAUGGAUACCCGUUUGCAUGUACUUUAUGAAUGAGGAUCGGCUAACUCCGUGCCAGCAGCCGCGGUAAUACGGAGGAUCCGAGCGUUAUCCGGAUUUAUUGGGUUUAAAGGGAGCGUAGAUGGAUGUUUAAGUCAGUUGUGAAAGUUUGCGGCUCAACCGUAAAAUUGCAGUUGAUACUGGAUAUCUUGAGUGCAGUUGAGGCAGGCGGAAUUCGUGGUGUAGCGGUGAAAUGCUUAGAUAUCACGAAGAACUCCGAUUG
rnacentral:rRNA from 1 species